GAAGCUAAUCGGAAGGGCAGGCCGGGGAGGUGGAGGGAGGCGGUGGAUUGAGGAGGUGGUGGUCGGGAUGCUCACGGAAGGAAGGGGAAGGGAAGGGAGGGGAAGCUAGCAGGAGCAGCAGCAGUAGAGUUGAAGUGCGGCACCAAGUUGGUUUUUUUCUUGACUUUUGGUUGGGGCUACUCAUCCAGCCGCAGUGUAGAGAAGAGGAGAGGAGAG
rnacentral:lncRNA from 1 species